rnacentral:tRNA from 2 species
GCGCGUGUGGCGGAAUUGGCAGACGCACUAGACUUAGGAUCUAGCGUUUUUGACGUGGGGGUUCAAGUCCCUCCACGCGCA